GGGAACUGUGAGACAGGUGCUGCAUGGCUGUCGUCAGCUCGUGUUGUGAAAUGUUGGGUUAAGUCCCGCAACGAGCGCAACCCUUAUCCUUUGUUGCCAGCGGUCCGGCCGGGAACUCAAAGGAGACUGCCAGUGAUAAACUGGAGGAAGGUGGGGAUGACGUCAAGUCAUCAUGGCCCUUACGACCAGGGCUACACACGUGCUACAAUGGCGCAUACAAAGAGAAGCGACCUCGCGAGAGCAAGCGGACCUCAUAAAGUGCGUCGUAGUCCGGAUUGGAGUCUGCAACUCGACUCCAUGAAGUCGGAAUCGCUAGUAAUCGUGGAUCAGAAUGCCACGGUGAAUACGUUCCCGGGCCUUGUACACACCGCCCGUCACACCAUGGGAGUGGGUUGCAAAAGAAGUAGGUAGCUUAACCUUCGGGAGGGCGCUUACCACUUUGUGAUUCAUGACUGGGGUGAAGUCGUAACAAGGUAACCGUAGGGGAACCUGCGGUUGGAUCAC
rnacentral:rRNA from 1 species